UCCGUAGACGGUUUACAUUUUUACAAAACAUUUGUAAUUUAUUACAUUUUUUGUUUUUUACGUAUUCUAGAGUUUAGUGGAAAGUUUUGGUAUUCUCGAUGGAGGGGUGAAAUCCGUAGAUAUCGAUGGGGACCACCGUUAGCGAAAGCAAAAACUUAUUCUAAACUGACGUUGAGGGACGAAAGCGUGGGGAGCAAACG
rnacentral:rRNA from 1 species